UACGAAGGGGGCUAGCGUUGCUCGGAAUCACUGGGCGUAAAGGGUGCGUAGGCGGGUCUUUAAGUCAGGGGUGAAAUCCUGGAGCUCAACUCCAGAACUGCCUUUGAUACUGAAGAUCUUGAGUUCGGGAGAGGUGAGUGGAACUGCGAGUGUAGAGGUGAAAUUCGUAGAUAUUCGCAAGAACACCAGUGGCGAAGGCGGGUCUCUGGGCCGAUAUUGACGCUGAGGAGCGAAAGCAUGGGGAGCGAACAGG
rnacentral:rRNA from 1 species